rnacentral:rRNA from 1 species
CCUACGUGAGGCUGCAGUGAGGAAUAUUGGUCAAUGGGCGAGAGCCUGAACCAGCCAAGUCGCGUGAGGGAGUACUGCCCUAUGGGUUGUAAACCUCUUUUGUCGGGGAGCAAAAGCCGGACGUGUCCGGCUUUGAGAGUACCCGAAGAAAAAGCAUCGGCUAACUCCGUGCCAGCAGCCGCGGUAAUUCGGAGGAUGCGAGCGUUAUCCGGAUUUAUUGGGUUUAAAGGGUGCGCAGGCGGAUUUUUAAGUCAGCGGUAAAAUCGUGGGGCUCAACCCCAUGCAGCCGUUGAAACUGGGGAUCUAGAGUGUGCGAGAGGUAUGCGGAAUGCGUGGUGUAGCGGUGAAAUGCAUAGAUAUCACGAAGAACCCCGAUUGCGAAGGCAGCAUACCGGUGCACAACUGACGCUCAGGCACGAAAGCGUGGGUAUCGAACAGGAUUAGAUACCCGAGUAGUC